rnacentral:rRNA from 1 species
CCUACGUGAGGCUGCAGUGAGGAAUAUUGGUCAAUGGACGCAAGUCUGAACCAGCCAUGCCGCGUGCAGGAUGACGGCUCUAUGAGUUGUAAACUGCUUUUGUACGAGGGUAAACCCCGAUACGUGUAUCGGGUUGAAAGUAUCGUACGAAUAAGGAUCGGCUAACUCCGUGCCAGCAGCCGCGGUAAUACGGAGGAUCCGAGCGUUAUCCGGUUUUAUUGGGUUAAAGGGGUGCGUAGGCGGUUUGAUACGUGAGUGGUGAAAUGUCGGGGCUCAACCCCGAAACUGCCUCUAAUACUGUUGGACUAGAGAAUAGUUGCGGUAGGCGGACUGUAUGGUGUAGCGGUGACAUGCUUAGAGAUCAUACAGAACACCGAUUGCGCCGGCAGCUUACCAAACUAUAUCUGACGUUGAGGCACGACAGCGUGGGUAGCAAACAGGCUUAGAUACCCGCGUUC